UACGUAGGGGGCGAGCGUUGCUCGGAUUUACUGGGCGUAAAGGGCGCGUAGGCGGAUGACCAAGUUGGGGGUGAAAUCCCGGGGCUUAACCUCGGAACUGCCUCCAAAACUGGUCGUCUUGAGUUUGGGAGAGGUGUGUGGAACUCCGAGUGUAGAGGUGAAAUUCGUAGAUAUUCGGAAGAACACCAGUGGCGAAGGCGACACACUGGCCCAAUACUGACGCUGAGGCGCGAAAGCGUGGGGAGCAAACAGG
rnacentral:rRNA from 1 species